rnacentral:sRNA from 1 species
CUCCUGCGAGAGAGAACCUCGCUCAACCUCGAUCCUCGCCGUGCUCCCUCCUUGCCCUGCUCCCUCAUCGUCGUCCUCCUCAUCCUCAUCUCUGCAUCCUGCUCGCCCUCAUCUGCUUGCCGUUGCUCUGGGCUUCGAUUGAUGAGGCUUGAUUUUUUAUCGGAGAGGAUUCUUUCAUUAGCUUUUGAUGUGAUUUCAUCUCUGUUGAAACAGGGCCUGGAUGGAGAAUAGUUUCUCCACAUUUUUCAUCUCUGUUGGACUCUGCAAUCUUUCAAGCAUUGGUAAUGAAUGAAAAGGAUAUCGUAGUGUGGGAAGAAGAUGCAGAUGAGUACAUACGAAAGAAUCUUCCAUCUGACAUAGUAUGGAAAGUUUAUACCACAUUUAGUGUGUGAUAUGUAAGACAUUUUAUAUAGGUAUGAGGUAUUACUACCAGUUGCAUACUAUGUGUGUAAUAUAUGCGGCGUUGUCUUAUGCUUAAGUGCUCUGCCUAAGAUGUAAAAUUGAUGGGGUCUAUUAGAAUUAAACCAUAUUCGCCUUUUGGAUUGCACGCCUGAGAAUUCUGUCCAUUUUUUUAUCUUUCAUGUAAAAUACUUGACUUUUAGUGGAAACGAAUGCAUGCUUAUUUAUCAUGAAUGAAUACGUAAGGUAUGAGCCUUGCUCAUAUUUU